UUUGUUCAUGGCUCAGGAUGAACGCUGGCUACAGGCUUAACACAUGCAAGUUCGAGGGGAAAACGACGGGGAAGCUUUGCUUUCCUUCGGGCGUCGACCGGCGCACGGGUGAGUAACGCGUAUCCAACCUGCCUCUGACUGAGGGAUAACCCGUCGAAAGUCGGCCUAAUACCUCAUGGCAUCGUCUGCGGGCAUCCAACGACGAUUAAAGAUUUCAUCGGUCAGGGAUGGGGAUGCGUCUGAUUAGCUUGUUGGCGGGGUAACGGCCCACCAAGGCUACGAUCAGUAGGGGUUUCUGAGAGGAAGGUCCCCCACAUUGGAACUGAGACACGGUCCAAACUCCUACGGGAGGCAGCAGUGAGGAAUAUUGGUCAAUGGGCGGGAGCCUGAACCAGCCAAGUAGCGUGCAGGAAGACGGCCCUAUGGGUUGUAAACUGCUUUUAUGCGGGGAUAAAGUGAGGGACGUGUCCUUCAUUGCAGGUACCGCAUGAAUAAGGACCGGCUAAUUCCGUGCCAGCCAGCCGCGGUAAUACGGAAGGUCCGGGCGUUAUCCGGAUUUAUUGGGUUUAAAGGGAGCGUAGGCCGUGGAUUAAGCGUGUUGUGAAAUGCAGGUGCUCAACGUCUGCACUGCAGCGCGAACUGGUCCACUUGAGUGUGCACAACGCAGGCGGAAUUCGUCGUGUAGCGGUGAAAUGCUUAGAUAUGACGAAGAACUCCGAUUGCGAAGGCAGCUUGCGGGAGCACAACUGACGCUGAAGCUCGAAAGUGCGGGUAUCGAACAGGAUUAGAUACCCUGGUAGUCCGCACGGUAAACGAUGGAUGCCCGUUGUCAGGCUGUUUCAGCCUGGUGACCAAGCGAAAGCAUUAAGCAUCCCACCUGGGGAGUACGCCGGCAACGGUGAAACUCAAAGGAAUUGACGGGGGCCCGCACAAGCGGAGGAACAUGUGGUUUAAUUCGAUGAUACGCGAGGAACCUUACCCGGGCUUGAAUUGCAGACGAAGGCUUCAGAGAUGAAGCGGCCCUUCGGGGCGUCUGUGAAGGUGCUGCAUGGUUGUCGUCAGCUCGUGCCGUGAGGUGUCGGCUUAAGUGCCAUAACGAGCGCAACCCCUUUCUUCAGUUGCCAUCAGGUGAUGCUGGGCACUCUGGAGACACUGCCACCGCAAGGUGUGAGGAAGGUGGGGAUGACGUCAAAUCAGCACGGCCCUUACGUCCGGGGCUACACACGUGUUACAAUGGCCGGUACAGAGAGUUGAUUUUGUGCAAACACGAUCUAAUCCUUAAAUCCGGUCCCAGUUCGGACUGGGGUCUGCAACCCGACCCCACGAAGCUGGAUUCGCUAGUAAUCGCGCAUCAGCCAUGGCGCGGUGAAUACGUUCCCGGGCCUUGCACACACCGCCCGUC
rnacentral:rRNA from 1 species